AGUGAACGCUGGCGGUAGGCCUAACACAUGCAAGUCGAACGGCAGCACAGUAAGAGCUUGCUCUUACGGGUGGCGAGUGGCGGACGGGUGAGGUAUACAUCGGACUCUACUUUUUCGUGGGGGAUAACGUAGGGAAACUUACGCUAAUACCGCAUACGACCUACGGGUGAAAGCAGGGGAUCUUCGGACCUUGCGCGAUUGAAUGAGCCGAUGUCGGAUUAGCUAGUUGGCGGGGUAAAGGCCCACCCAGGCGACGAUCCGUAGCUGGUCUGAGAGGAUGAUCAGCCACACUGGAACUGAGACACGGUCCAGACUCCUACGGGAGGGAGCAGUGGGGAAUAUUGGACAAUGGGCGCAAGCCUGAUCCAGCCAUACCGCGUGGGUGAAGAAGGCCUUCGGGUUGUAAAGCCCUUUUGUUGGGAAAGAAAAGCAGCAGGUUAAUACCCCGCUGUUCUGACGGUACCCAAAGAAUAAGCACCGGCUAACUUCGUG
rnacentral:rRNA from 1 species